CAACAUUGCUGGAACAUCGGGGCCAUAACCCUCAGGGUUGAUCAGCAACCAACUCAGAAAGGAAACAAUAGGUCCGGACGUCAUAGCCCCGAUCUUCGUACCAAAGCCCAACCGGUCGAAGUCGAGGAACUCCUUCUUGUCGAGAUUCACAAUGAUGUACUCAAUGCCCAUGGUGCGGCCUAACAGGUAUUGAGCCAAACUGCGAAUUGGCCUAGCACGGCUUGAUUUGGCCUGCGGUGCAU
rnacentral:misc_RNA from 1 species